GAUGAAGAACGCAGUGAAAUGCAAUACUUGGUGUGAAUUGCAGAAUCCCGUGAACCAUCGAGUUUUUGAACGCAAGUUGCGCCCGAAGCCGUUAGGCCGAGGGCACGCCUGCCUGGGUGUCACACAUCGUUGCCCCAAUGCCAAUCGCCUCACUUUGUAGGUAUUUGCUUGGGGUGAAUGUUGGCCUCCCGUGAGCUUUGUCUCACGGUUGGUUGAAAAUCGAGUGCAUGGUGUCGGGUGUACCAUGAUGGAUGGUGGUUGAGUGAUGAUGCUCGGUGACCCACAUGCGUCCCUUGGAUGCUCCCUAAGGAGACCUCAGGUCAGGCGGGGCUACCCACUGAGUUUAAGCAUAUCAAUAAGCGGAGGA
rnacentral:misc_RNA from 1 species